rnacentral:rRNA from 1 species
CCCUUAGAUGUUCUGGGCCGCACGCGCGCUACACUGAUGCAUUCAACGAGUCUAAAACCUGGUCUGAUAGGGCUGGGUAAUCUUUUGAAAGUGCAUCGUGAUUGGGAUAGAUGAUUGCAAUUCUUCAUCUUCAACGAGGAAUGCCUAGUAAACGCAAGUCAUCAGCUUGCAUUGAUUACGUCCCUGCCCUUUGUACACACCGCCCGUCGCUGCCCGGAACUGAGCCGUUUCGAGAAGACUGAGGAUUGCUGACUUGAGGCCUUCACGGGCUUCUAGUCGGUGAAAAUCAAUUUAAUCGCAGCGGCUUGAACCGGGCAAAAGUCGUAACA